ensembl:snoRNA
GAGCCAGCCAAUGAAUCUGCUUACCAGGCCCUGUUCCUGCUGAAACUUAGAAAAAGCUGGCAAGAGGAAGGUCAUGUUAUGAGCCUUAAAAGACAUUGAAGUCAUUAAGGUUUCUGAAAAUUGCUGCAAGA